rnacentral:rRNA from 1 species
AUUGAACGCUGGCGGCAGGCCUAACACAUGCAAGUCGAGCGGAUGAAGGGAGCUUGCUCCUGGAUUCAGCGGCGGACGGGUGAGUAAUGCCUAGGAAUCUGCCUGGUAGUGGGGGAUAACGUCCGGAAACGGGCGCUAAUACCGCCUACGUCCUGAGGGAGAAAGUGGGGGAUCUUCGGACCUCACGCUAUCAGAUGAGCCUAGGUCGGAUUAGCUAGUUGGUGGGGUAAAGGCCUACCAAGGCGACGAUCCGUAACUGGUCUGAGAGGAUGAUCAGUCACACUGGAACUGAGACACGGUCCAGACUACUAAGGGAGGCAGCAGUGGGGAAUAUUGGACAAUGGGCGAAAGCAUGAUCCAGCCAGGCCGCGUGUGUGAAGAAGGUCUUCGGAUUGUAAAGCACUUUAAGUUGGGAGGAAGGGCAGUAAGUUAAUACCUUGCUGUUUUGACGUUACCAACAGAAUAAGCACCGGCUAACUUCGUG